GCCUAGCCCUGAUAGAAGCGGCAUCCUUUUUCUGGUUCUUUUGCCAGAAAAAGAUAUAGCGGAGAGCAGGAAAAAGC
rnacentral:sRNA from 1 species